rnacentral:rRNA from 1 species
GGCGAGUGGCUGACACGGGNCAUGAAUACAUCGGAAUCUACUUNUCGUGGGGUGAUAACGUAGGAAACUUACGCUAGAUACCGUCAUACGACCUACGGGUGAAAGCAGGGGAUCUUCGGUACCUUGCUGCGAGUUAGAAUGAGUCCGAUUCGGAUUACUUGUUUGCGUGGGUAAAGGCCCACCAAGGCGACGAUCCGUAACAUGUCUGAAGGAUCAUCAGCCACGACUGGAACUGAGACACGGUCACAGAUCUCCUACGGGCAGUGCAUGCAGUCCGGUGAAUAUUUGGACUAAUGGGCGCACAUGCCUGAUCCAGCCAUACCUGCGUGGGCUAAGAAUGCCUUCGGGGUUGUAGAGCCCUUUCUCGUUGGGAAACGAAAUCCACGCCUGGCUCAAUACCUGUGUUGGGAGUGACCGUCCCUAAAGCAAUAAUGUCACCGGCUANCUAUACGGUGCCAUUCAGGCCGGCNGUAAAUACUCAAGGUGCAAGCGCUCUACUCGUCAAUUACUGGGCGUANACAGCGUGCGCUAGGUUGUCUUUAUAAGUCUGUUNUGAAAGCCCUGGGCUCAACCUGGGGAACUGCANUGGAAACUGGACGACUAAAGUGUGGUAAGGGUAGCGGAAUUCCUUGCUGUAGCAGUNAAUAUGCGUAGAGAUCAGGAGGAACCUCCGUGGCUGAAGCAGCUUCCUUGACCUCACUUACACUUAGGCUCUAAAGCGUGGGGAGCAACCCGAUUUGAUCCCGGUUUCCCUGCCUAUUCAUUCGACUGGAUGUUCGUGCAUUUGGGCACGCAGUAUUUGAACUGUGGCGCUUUACNCCCCCUGGUGGNGUCGGUCCCAGACUGCGGGUCNAAGCAUUGACGGGGCCCCCCA